UCCUACGGGAGGCAGCAGUGGGGAAUAUUGCACAAUGGGCGCAAGCCUGAUGCAGCAACGCCGCGUGCGGGAUGACGGCCUUCGGGUUGUAAACCGCUUUCAGCAGGGACGAAGCUAACGUGACGGUACCUGCAGAAGAAGCACCGGCCAACUACGUGCCAGCAGCCGCGGUGAUACGUAGGGUGCGAGCGUUGUCCGGAAUUAUUGGGCGUAAAGAGCUUGUAGGCGGUUUGUUGCGUCAGAAGUGAAAACUCAGGGCUUAACCCUGAGCCUGCUUCUGAUACGGGCAGACUAGAGGAAGUUAGGGGAGAACGGAAUUCCUGGUGGAGCGGUGGAAUGCGCAGAUAUCAGGAGGAACACCGGUGGCGAAGGCGGUUCUCUGGGACUUUCCUGACGCUGAGAAGCGAAAGCGUGGGGAGCAAACAGGCUUAGAUACCCUGGUAGUCCACGCCGUAAACGGUGGGUACUAGGUGUGGGUCACAUUCCACGUGAUCCGUGCCGCAGCUAACGCAUUAAGUACCCCGCCUGGGGAGUACGGCCGCAAGGCUAAAACUCAAAGGAAUUGACGG
rnacentral:rRNA from 1 species